GAGAAGGACCUGGGGCAGGGACUGCUCCCCGAAGAUCCUGUGUGAGCAGCAAGGAUGACGAAGGGCCCUAAUCGGCCAACUGCUCAUCCUUCAAGCCCAACACCAGGUCGCUUCCUCCAGUAAGCCAUCUGACGAGUCGCAGGCACCAGCUUGCCUCUAUCACAUUGCCUCUGUGGGACCUCCCAUCAACCCCUGUGGCUACUGCAUAACCCACUAGAGACUGAGCUACUUAGGGACAGACACACACCUGCCUCUGUCACCUCAGGUCCCCAGCUCUUUCUGCAGACCCUAACACAGUGGGUUCUCAGUAAAUGUGAACAGAAUAUAUAAAUCACCAAGUCUCUGCACCCUCCAGGAAUAAGGUCCUGCUUCUGCCCCCUUCCUGCUCUGUGCCCCCCCACCUGUAUCUGUAGAAGUCAGCUUAGCCACCAAUGGUUGUUGGGAUGUACACACACACACACACACACACAAACACGGGGUGGGGGGCUGUACCUCAAGAGGCAGGGCAUAUGUACCGUCCUUCCCUAUACCACAGGGGACUUCUCGAAGCAGACGGUGGCACAAUGCAUGGAAUGAGAAGCGCAGGUAAACCCUCGCCCACCUCUGCCCUCCUACCACCUGCUCUGCUGCGGCUCUCAGCAUGGGAAGCGGCACUCCUGUCCAGGUCCUCCAGCCCUGUCUAAUGAGGGAACCCCCAUCACAACAGCCACAGGUGGUCCCCAGACACUAUUUACAUACCCCAGGGUCAAGGGCCUCACCCUUCACAAGCAGCUAUUACUCUCCUCUUAGACUGGUAGAGCACCACCAGGUUUUCCUCUUGUGGACUAAAGUCUGUCUCAUUCUAACUUUUCUAUCAUAACCUUAACCCUGCUCUUAGUCAAGUCACUAAGCUGCUCAUUGUCUGGGUGGUCACCUGCUGGGGCAGGCCUCUGGGCUUCUUCUGGGGUGAGCUGUGGAUGCCACAAGGUGAUGAGGGUGACUCCAGGCCAAUAUCAGAUUCUCUACUCUAAGAUGCCUCAUGCCCUCUGCCGCCCAGACCCCUGAUACACACUCCUUUUUUCUGCGCAGGUGCCAGAAGGUACCUUGGGUUUGACUCCUUAACAUCAGAUCCCCCCUUUACCCCAAGGGAGAGGCCCAUACCCUGUGCUCAUCAGGCAGCUUCUCAGCUCCAAAGCCCUGGGCCUGAGGCCUGCCCUUGGAGAGAGAGGCCACUGCCUACCCACCCCCUCAAAUCCCCACCACAUGCCGCAAGAAGGCAAAGCUGUCCUGGUGCAGGCCCAGCCUCAACACUCAGAGCCUGUUUAUACCUUCCCCUGCAUAGC
rnacentral:lncRNA from 1 species